rnacentral:rRNA from 1 species
AACGAACGCUGGCGGCAUGCCUAACACAUGCAAGUCGAACGAGACCUUCGUGUCUAGUGUCGCAAGGGUGCGUAACGCGUGGUAAUCUGCCCUUGGUUUCGGGAUGACAGUUGGAAACGACUGCUAAUACCGGAUGAUGACUUCGGUCCAAAGAUUUAUCGCCCAGGGAUGAGCCCGCGUCGGAUUAGCUAGUUGGUGAGGUAAGAGCUCACCAAGGCGACGAUCCGUAGCUGGUCUGAGAGGAUGAUCAGCCACCCUGGGACUGAGACACGGCCCAGACUCCUACGGGAGGAAGAAGUGGGGAAUAUUGGACAAUGGGCGAAAGACUGAUCCAGCAAUGCCGCGUGAGUGAUGAAGGACUUAGGGUUGUAAAGCUCUUUUAACCGGGAUGAUAAUGACAGUACCGGGCGAAUAAGCCCCGGCUAACUCCGUG